rnacentral:rRNA from 1 species
CUGCUAUCGGAUGAUACUAAGCCAUGCGAGUCUUGUAGUAAUACAAGGCAUACGGCUCAGUAACACGUAGUCAACCUACCCUAUGGACGAGAAUAAUCUCGGGAAACUGAGCAUAAUUCUCGAUAGAUCAUAAUGCCUGGAAUGGUUUAUGGUUAAAAUGAUUCGUCGCCAUAGGAUGGGACUGCGGCCUAUCAGCUUGUUGGUGAGGUAAUGGCCCACCAAGGCGAUUACAGGUACGGGCUCUGAGAGGAGAAGCCCGGAGAUGGGUACUGAGACACGGACCCAGGCCCUAUGGGGCGCAGCAGGCGAGAAAACUUUGCAAUGUGCGAAAGCACGACAAGGUUAAUCCGAGUGAUUUCUGCUAAAGAAAUCUUUUGCCAGUCAUAAAACCACUGGUGAAUAAGGGGUGGGCAAGUUCUGGUGUCAGCCGCCGCGGUAAAACCAGCACCUCAAGUGGUCAGGAUGAUUAUUGGGCCUAAAGCAUCCGUAGCCGGCCUUGUAAGUUUUCGGUUAAAUCCAUGUGCUCAACGCAUGGGCUGCCGAAAAUACUGCAUGGCUAGGGAGUGGGAGAGGUAGACGGUACUCAGUAGGAAGGGGUAAAAUCCUUUGAUCUAUUGAUGACCACCUGUGGCGAAGGCGGUCUACCAGAACACGUUCGACGGUGAGGGAUGAAAGCUGGGGGAGCAAACCGGAUUAGAUACCCGGGUAGUCCCAGCUGUAAACGAUGCAGACUCGAUGAUGCAUUGGCAUAAUAGCCAGUGCAGUGUCGCAGGGAAGCCGUUAAGUCUGCCGCCUGGGAAGUACGUACGCAAGUAUGAAACUUAAAGGAAUUGGCGGGGGAGCACCACAAGGGUGAAGCCUGCGGUUCA